UGUGUGUAGUCUUGGCGGUACCAGUUUUUUCCUUAGUCCUUUCUGGUACCGCCC
rnacentral:antisense_RNA from 1 species